rnacentral:rRNA from 1 species
GAUGAACGCUGGCGGCGUGCCUAAUACAUGCAAGUCGAGCGAAUGGAUUAAGAGCUUGCUCUUAUGAAGUUAGCGGCGGACGGGUGAAUAACACGUGGGUAACCUGCCCAUCAGACUGGGAUAACUCCGGGACACCGGGGCUAAUACCGGAUAACAUUUUGAACCGCAUGGUUCGAAAUUGAAAGGCGGCUUCGGCUGUCACUUAUGGAAGGACCCGCGUCGCAUUAGCUAGUUGGUGAGGUAACGGCUCACCAAGGCAACGAUGCGUAGCCGACCUGAGAGGGUGAUCGGCCACACUGGGACUGAGACACGGCCCAGACUCCUACGGGAGGCAGCAGUAGGGAAUCUUCCGCAAUGGACGAAAGUCUGACGGAGCAACGCCGCGUGAGUGAUGAAGGCUUUCGGGUCGUAAAACUCUGUUGUUAGGGAAGAACAAGUGCUAGUUGAAUAAGCUGGCACCUUGACGGUACCUAACCAGAAAGCCACGGCUAACUACGUGCCAGCCGCCGCAGUAA